CCUACGGGAGGCAGCAGUGGGGAAUAUUGGACAAUGGGCGAAAGCCUGAUCCAGCCAUGCCGCGUGUGUGAAGAAGGCCUUCGGGUUGUAAAGCACUUUCAGUGGGGAAGAAAGCCUUGGGGCUAAUACCCUCGAGGAAGGACAUCACCCACAGAAGAAGCACCGGCUAACUCCGUGCCAGCAGCCGCGGUAAUACGGAGGGUGCGAGCGUUAAUCGGAAUUACUGGGCGUAAAGCGCGCGUAGGCGGUCUGAUAAGCCGGUUGUGAAAGCCCCGGGCUCAACCUGGGAACGGCAUCCGGAACCGUCAGGCUAGAGUGCAGGAGAGGAAGGUAGAAUUCCCGGUGUAGCGGUGAAAUGCGUAGAGAUCGGGAGGAAUACCAGUGGCGAAGGCGGCCUUCUGGACUGACACUGACGCUGAGGUGCGAAAGCGUGGGUAGCAAACAGGAUUAAUACCGUGUAGUC
rnacentral:rRNA from 1 species